AACUGAGCCGGGCCAAGAGAGAAGACCAGCUCUGGCUAAGCCAUGGCCAAGAGUACAGGCAGAAGACAACCCUCCGGGAUUGGCCAGUUAAGACUGGGGCAGAGCCGGUGAGGCAAAAACAGGAGCCGGUCCCCAGAGGUGCCCUUCAAGGUAUCCAGGUCUGUCUCAAGCACCUAAGAACUUAUGGAAUUAUUGUUCCUUGUCAGUCUCCAUGGAACACUCCCCUCCUGCCUGUUCCCAAGCCACGGACCAAGGACUACCGGCUGGUACAGGAUUUGCGCUUGCUUCAUCAAGCUACACUGACUUUACAUCCAACAGUACCUAACCCGUCCACAUUGUUGGGGUUGCUGCCAGCUGAGAACAGCUGGUUCACCUGCUUGGACCUGAAAGACACUUUCUUUCCUAUCAGAUUAGCCCCUGAGAGGCAGAAGCUGUUUGCCUUUCAGUGGGAAGAUCCGGAGUCAGUUGUCACUACUCAGUACACUUGGACCGGGCUUCCCCAAGGGUUCAAGAACUCCCCCACCAUCUUCGGGGAGGCGUUGGCUCGAGACCUCCAGAAGUUUCCCAGCAGAGGCCUAGGCUGCGUGUUGCUCCAGUAGGUUGAUGACCUUCUGCUGGGACACCCCACGGCAGUCGGGUGUGCCAAGGGAACAGAUGCCCUACACCGGCACCUGGAGGACUGUGGGUAGAAGGUGUCCAAGAAGAAAGCUCAGAUCUGCCAACAGCAGGUACGUUACUUGGGAUUGACUAUCCGACAGGGGUCAGAACGCAGCCCGGGAUCAGAAAGAAAGCAGGUCAUUUGCAAUCUAGCAGAACCUAAGAGCAGAAGGCAGGUGAGAGAAUUCUUAGGAGCUGUGGGGUUUUGUAGACUGUGGAUCCCAAACUUUGCAGUAUUAUCCAAGCCUUUGUAUGAGGUCACAAAGGGGGUGGGGACCGGGAAACUUUGGAAAUGUGGAUCCCAACAACAGCAAGUCUUUCAUGAGUUAAAGGAAAAACUUCUGGCAGCCCCAGCUCUGGGGCUACCUGAUCUGACAAAGCCUUUUCCAUUCUAUGCAUCAGAGAGAGAAAAGAUGGCAGCUGGACUUUGAACCCAAACUGUGGGGGCCUGACCAAGGCUGGUGGCCUACCCCUCUAAACAACUAGAUGGGGUUUCUAAAGGAUGGCCCCCCUGUUUGAGGGCCUUGGCAGCAACUGCCCUGCCAGUACAAGAAGCAAAUAAGCUGACUCUUGGUAAAAACCUGGACAUAAAGGCCUCCCGUGCUGUGGUGACUUUAAUGAAUACUAAAGGACAUCAUUGGCUAACGAAUGCCAGACUCACCAAGUACCAAACUGCUCUGCAAAAAUCCCCGUAUAACCAUUGAAGUUUGCAACACCCUACACCCCGCCACCUUGCUCCCAGUAUCAGAGAGCCGUGUCGAGCCUGAUUGUGUAGAAGUGUUGGACUCAAUUGACUCUAGCAGACCUGACCUCCGGGACCAGCCUUGGGCAUCAGUAGAUUGGGAACUAUACGUGGAUGGGAGCAGCUUCUUCAACCCCCAAGGAGAGAGAGGUGCAGGGCAUGCAGUGGUAACCCUGGACACUGUUGUUGAAGCCAGAUCGUUGCCCCAGGCCACUUCAGCCCAGAAAGCUGAACUCAUUGCUUUAAUUCGUGCCUUAGAACUCAGCGAGGGUGAGACUGUAAACAUUUACACUGAAUCUAGGUAUGUCUUUUUAACCCUUCAAGUGCAUGGAGCAUGAUAGAAAAAAAAGGUCCUGUUGAACUCUGGGGGAAAAGACAGAAAAUAUCAACAAGAAAUCUUGCAAUGAUUAGAAGCAGUAUGGAAACCCCACAAGGUGGCAGUUAUGCAUUGCAGAGGACACCAGCGAGCUUCCACCUUGCUGGGUUUGGGGAAUCCCCGCGCUGACUCAGAGGCUCGAAAAGCAGCAUAUGCCCCCUUCUGGGCAUCAGUGUUCCCUCAAGCACCUGAUCUUGGACCUGCUUCUUCUAAAGAAGAAAAGGACUUUCUCCAGGUAGAGGGAAGGACAAGUGAUGAAGGAAGGAUGGAUUCAGUUACCAGAUGGGAGAGUAGCUGUGCCACAGCUGCUAGGAGCUGCAGUUGUACUGGCUGUGCAAGAAACCACCCAUCAAGGUCAACUGUCAUUGGAAAAGUUGUUAGGCUGGUAUUUCUACAUCUCGCGUUUCUCAGCCCUUGCCAAAACGGUGAGGCAGCGGUGUGUUACCUGCCGACAGCAUGAUGCGAGGCAAGAUCCAGCCGUUCCGCCCGGCAUACGAGCUUAUGGAGCAGCCCUCUUUGAAGGUCUCCAGGUGGACUUCACAGAGAUGCCAAAGUGUGGAGGCGUCCAAGUCACACAGAGCCACGGAAUCUCACAGGUGUCUGAGAAUUCCUCCUCCUGGGAAUCUCAGAGGAUCCAGAACUGCAGCCCGUCCUCGCUGGGCUGUCCCUGUCCAUGUACCCGGUCAUGGUGCUGAGGAACCUGCUCAUCAUCCUGGCUGUCAGCUUUGACUCCCACCUCCACACCUCCAUGUACUUCGUCCUCUCCAACCUGCGCUGGAUUGACAUCGGUUUCACCUCGGCCACGGUUCCCAAGAUGAUUGUGGACAUGCAGUCGCAUAGCAGAGUCAUCUCUUAUGCGGGCUGCCUGACACAGAUGUCUUUCUUGGUCCUUUUUGCAUGUAUAGAAGACAUGCUCCUGACUGUGAUGGCCUAUGACCAAUUUUUGGCCAUCUGUCACCCCCUGCACUACCCAGUCAUCGUGAAUCCUCACCACUGUGUCUUCUUAGUUUUGGUGUCCUUUUUCCUUAGCCUGUUGGAUUCCCAGCUGCACAGUUGGAUUGUGUUACAAUUCACCUUCUUCAAGAAUGUGGAAAUCUCUAAUUUUGUCUGUGAGCCAUCUCAGCUUCUCAACCUUGCCUGUUCUGACGGCGUCAUCAAUAGCAUAUUCAUAUAUUUAGAUAGUAUUAUGUUUGGUUUUCUUCCCAUUUCAGGGAUCCUUUUGUCUUACUGUAAAAUCGUCCCCUCCAUUCUAAGGAUGUCACCAUCAGAUGGGAAGUAUAAAGGCUUCUCCACCUGUGGCUCUCACCUGGCAGUUGUUUGCUUAUUUUACGGAACAGGCAUUGGCAUGUACCUGACUUCAGCUGUGUCACCACCUCCCAGCAAUGGUGUGGUGGCUUCAGUGAUGUACGCUGUGGUCACCCCCAUGCUGAACCCUUUCAUCUGCAGCCUGAGAAACAGGGACAUUCAAAGUGCCCCGUGGAGGCUGCGCAGCACAACAGUUGAAUCUCAUGAUCUCUUCCAUCCUUUUUCUUGUGUCUGUAAGGAAGGGCAACCACAUUAAAUCCCUACAUCUGCAAAUCCUG